ACGUAGGUGGCAAGCGUUGUCCGGAAUUAUUGGGCGUAAAGCGCGCGCAGGCGGUCCUUUAAGUCUGAUGUGAAAGCCCACGGCUCAACCGUGGAGGGUCAUUGGAAACUGGGGGACUUGAGUGCGGAAGAGGAAAGUGGAAUUCCACGUGUAGCGGUGAAAUGCGUAGAGAUCCGGAGGAACACCGACGGCGUAGGCACCGUCCUGGCCGCGACCUGACACUGAGGCACGAAAGCUGGGGGAGCGAACAGGA
rnacentral:rRNA from 1 species